GUGCUGAUGGUGUAGGGGUGAAAGCGCAGAGGCGCAGAGGCUACAAUCCUCGAAGCGGCUGUCCCGGGUUCGAGUCCCGGACCCAGCGACA